rnacentral:rRNA from 1 species
CCUACGGGAGGCAGCAGGGGGGAAUCUUGGACAAUGGGGGCAACCCUGAUCCAGCCAUGCCGCGUGGGUGAAGAAGGCCUUAGGGUUGUAAACCCCUUUCAGCGGGGAAGAUAAUGACGGUAGCCGGUAAAGAGGCCCCGGCUAACUUCGUGCCAGCAGCCGCGGUAAU